GCUUUUAAAUAUAGACGCCAAUUGAAAUUUCGCGGGAAGACAGUUGAAUAAUGACAGUUCAAAAGGGCGGCAAAAAAAAGAAAAAAGUUUUUUUUUAAUUGGCCAGGCCGCGAAUUUUUCAAUCAACCCUUAGAAACUAAAAUGUCAUAUAAAAUUUUCUGGAUUAAGCCUAGUUUCAGAGAUAAUUAAAUGUUUUUCGAAAUCAUUCUUUCGCCAUAAGUCAGUACAAAACACAUUUUUGACUGCGGUAUUGCCACUUUGAGGUCUAGUCUGGACAUACCUACUGAUUCACAUCGAAAAAUUAAAAACAUGUAUUCGAGAGGCUACCCCCAAAUAAGAUAAAAACUUUUUAGUUAAUUUUAGGUUGUGUUUAUCAAUAAAAAUUACGUUUUAUGUACAGGAGUGUUCAAAAAAAGGGGGAUUUUUUUUAAAAGUCAUAUAACAUUUUUUGCUUCUGUUGCCAUCAGGAAUGCACCGUUAAAAUCUCUCGCAAUGCUCACGGCCACCUUGUAAAUUAAUAAGGCAGAACCAAUGCAAAAUUACAAAAGCAAAGAUUACGAAAAUGUCUUGACACAAAUCGUAUUUUCAUUGGGCUAGACGAGAAUCAAGAACCUAUAUUCUUGAUAUUAUUCGUGAUAUUCGUACAUUACAAAAUCAAGCCAAAGCCAAAGCUGACCAGAAGUGUGGAAAUUAUUCGCAGUACCAGACAAAUAACCAGGCAGACCACUCCCAUGGCUACUACUUGUGGGUCCAGAUCGCUUAUCUGAAA